rnacentral:rRNA from 1 species
UGGGGAAUUUUGGACAAUGGGCGCAAGCCUGAUCCAGCCAUGCCGCGUGAGUGAAGAAGGCCUUCGGGUUGUAAAGCUCUUUCGGCGGGGACGAAACGGUUCGUGACAACACCACGGACUAAUGACGGUACCCGCAUAAGAAGCACCGGCUAACUACGUGCCAGCAGCCGCGGUAAUACGUAGGGUGCAGGCGUUAAUCGGAAUUACUGGGCGUAAAGCGUGCGCAGGCGGUUUGUUAAGACAGGUGUGAAAUCCCCGGGCUUAACCUGGGAAUUGCGCUUGUAACUGGCAGGCUAGAGUGUGGCAGAGGGGGGUGGAAUUCCACGUGUAGCAGUGAAAUGCGUAGAUAUCGGGAGGAACACCUGUGGCGAAGGCGGCCACCUGGUUGGAUACUGACGCUGAGACGCGAAAGCGUGGGGAGCAAACAGGAUUAGAUACCCAAGUAGUCCCUGAGCGGGCUGGCAAGGCGCAU